AUUAAUAUGGAAGGGAGAAGAGCUUUAAUGAUUGGAGUCAUUUUCAGAGCAUUAAAGCUCUUCUCCCUUCCAUGUUAAU
rfam:Gorilla gorilla gorilla genomic chromosome, chrX, whole genome shotgun sequence